rnacentral:rRNA from 1 species
UACAGAGGGUGCAAGCGUUGUUCGGAAUUAUUGGGCGUAAAGGGAGUGUAGGCGGUUUGUUAAGUCUUCUGUGAAAUCUACGGGCUUAGCCUGUAACGUGCAGAGGAAACUGGCAGACUUGAGUGUCGGAGAGGAUAGGGGAAUACCCAGUGUAGAGGUGAAAUUCGUAGAGAUUGGGUGGAACACCAGUGGCGAAGGCGCCUGUCUGGCUGACAACUGACGCUGAGACUCGAAACGACAUGGGGAGGCAAACAGG